UUUGCAUGCUAUAGUGUACGGAGUUUGGAUCAUAUACUAGUAGAUAGAUCGAGGACUUCAGAUAGUAAAGAGUGACACAGUGCUUGAAUUUUUUCAUAGAAGGUUGUGUACUGGGAUGAUAAAGAGAAGAAGGAAGGCAAUGAGUUUGAACUAACAGAGAGAGAGAUUAAUAUUGACAUACAAGAAGGAAAUCUUUUUAUAAAAGAUACAACCAACCUGGAUCACUGUUAUUCAACAUUUUGAAAAAGACUAUAAGUACAGACGUUUCAUUUUAUUCAUUUUCUUGGUUGGGAGAAAGUUAGAGUUAUUGCCCUUUGGUACAAUAGUCUUUACUCUGCUAUUAGUGAUUAUAGCAAGUUAAUUAUUCAUAACCAAGGAACCAAUGAAAUGUGUUUUAUAUAUAGCCAUGUUUUGAAGGUCAAGACCUAUUGGUAUUAUUUUUAAAUCUGAGUUCUCAUUUUCUAAUUUUAGGUGGAAUAGCUACUUGAUGAAGCUGGCAUGGUCUAGUAUUUUUGUAUUUAGACAUGGCCCUUUAAAGAUAUGUAUCUUGAUGAAGAUGGCAUGGUCUAGUAUGUAUUCAGACAUGGCCCUUUCAAGGUUAUUUAUAUUCUUGAUAAAGCUGGCACGGUCUGGUUUUGUUUAUGUACAGAUGAACUAUUUAAGAUUUGUAAUUGUCUUGAUCAUGUUGGUACGGUCCGAUAUGUUAUGUUUAAGGUAUUGGCCUUACAAGUGUUGUAUUUAUAUUUGUUGGAGUCGGCAACACGACGUAAAAUGAUGAUUACACAGUUGAGUUUUUACUUUUGAUUAUUCUUUUUUUAUAUAUCUGAUUAUAUCGUUAUUAUACUGUAGAUGUUACGGAAAACUAAGUACACAGUUUAAAACGGAUUAGUACUGUUCAAUUUAUUCAGUGAUUUGAAUGAAAAAUGGGAUAUAGAGACCUAACGAUUAUAAUUGAAGCUGUCUUAUUUGAUUGGUUUUAUCUUCAAGUUUUUCAGAUAUCUUUAAUCAAGGAAAAUGGACUACUUCCUGGGCGUGCGCGGAACCUUCUUUAGAGUCAUUGGCAAGCAGACUUCCGGAAACUUGUUUAAAACCAAAAGCUGAGAAUACACGCACAAAGUACAGCGGAGCAUUCAAUAGAUUCUGUAAGUGGUGUUCACAUUAUAACAUCUCUUCACUACCAGCCUCAGACUAUCAUGAACGUUUCCCUAUAUUUGAUUCAUCUCAGCGAUACAUGUAACUCAGUAGCUACAAUAGAUGAAGCUUUUUAUGCUAUAAGUUGGACACAUAAAUUGAGUGGAUUUCCCGAUCCUUGUACUUCAUUCCUUCCUAUUUCAACAAGGGAAGGAUGUCACAGAUCUAUUGGACACCGAGGGAGAAACUAAAAGAAACCUAUUUCUCCAGACAUUUUUAAAAAUAUUUGUCUAUUGUAUGGUAACAACAGCUGUAAUUUACUUGAUCUUAGAAUUGCUUGUAUGUGCGUUCUUAGUUUUUUCCGGAUUUUUAAGGUUUUCAGAGCUUGUUAAUCUUAGAAGGUCAGACAUUCAAAUUUUUGAUGAUUAUUUGACUCUUAAUGUUCAGAAAAGUAAAACUGAUCGAUACAAGAAAGGUACUAUACUGUUUACAUUUCCGGUACUGGGCAGAUUACAUGUCCCAUUAUGAUCACUAAGAGGUAUUUGGAAAAAGCUAAUAUUAGUGCAUGUUCAGAUGAGUUCAUAUUCAGAUCUAUUUGUUUUUGUAAAAGCUCUCAAUCAUAUAUUCUGAAGGGUCACAAAAGUUUGUCUUAUACAAGAGCUAGAGAAAUUCUUCUGUCUACACUUGAAUCUAUUGGACUGGAUAAACGUCAGUUCGGAUUACAUAGUCUUCGAGCCGGCGGCGCUACUGCAGCGGCAAAUGCUGGUAUUUGUGAUAGGCUGUUAAAAAACACGGUCGCUGGCGUUCAAAGUCAGCUAAAGAUGGCUAUGUUAAAGAAAAUUUAGAGCAACAUUUAAUUGUAACUAAACAUAUUGGGAUAAAGGGGUGGGUUGUUUAUAUCAUUGACAAUUUUUUGCUUUCUUUAUUGUCGAAGUCUGUUGCAUUCGCGCAUGCGAGCUUAUCCUAUAAAUUAUGUGUUUGUGUUUUAUUUUAUAAAUAAUUCAUGUUCGGUUGAACUGGUGAAUAAGAACACAAAUAUAUUUAUAAAAGUUACAG
rnacentral:misc_RNA from 1 species